UUUUUUUUCCCUCUUUUUUUCUCCUCCACACCUUUCCCUUGUCUCUAUCUUCACUUUUCUUUUCUUUUCUUUUUCUUUUUAUCUUCACUUGUCUGGAGCUUUUCCUCUUAUCUUCACUUUUCUUUUUUCUUUUCUUCUCCUUUUCUUCUCUAGCACUUCGUCUGGAGCGCUAUCUUCAAUCUUCACUUUUCUUUUUUCUUUUCUUCUCUAGCACUACGUCUACUCCAGAGCAUUCAAGAAGCACCACUGCAUGUCCUCUUCCCACCGAGCCUCAAAUGGAGGGCAUUAUGGUAAAAGUGUCGGGAGAGCAUUUUCUCUUCAGGCUUUUCCUCCCGAUUUUGGAGGAAAAAAUUUGUGGGCCCGGUAGAGAAUUUUCUCCCGGGUUUUCCUUCCUCUCUAUUUUCUCUCGUUUGCCAAACAAUGAAAAACACUGUUUUCCACUCUAUUUUCCUCCCUAUGUUUUCCAUCCUUCCUAAAUUCACCCCAACCAAAUCUAGUGUUAAAGAAUUUUUUUAUGAGAAUGAAUGGAGAAAAUUGUAAGUAAUGGCGUCUAAAUUUUUAAAGCUAAUAACUUUGUUCUCCAUAUUUGGUUUUAAUUUCUUAUCUAAAACAACAAAACACAUAUCAAACCCAAAUCAAACCAUAAAGGCAUAAACCAACACAAACCCAGUGAUCUAGAGCAAACACAACCCAACCACAGCCACUUGACCCAAUUUUGAAAAUGGAGCCACAACCACCUGUGCUAAUCUAAAGAGAGAGGGGAAGAUAAGUUCAAGAGGGUGAAUGAGUUCAAGAAGGAGCCCAACCAGGGAGGUCUAUAGAGAGAGAAUAAUAUAACAUUGUGUGUUGCUGAACAUUGUCUUUUUUGACAAAUUGUGAUGCAAGACGGUUUUAGUUGAGUUUAGCUAUAUGUUUUCUGAGAAGCUAAGUUGUUGAAUUUGGUGUGAAUGCCCACAUUAUGUAGAGGAGCUAUGCUAGCUCACCCAUGAUAUUUGAUUGUAUGGUAAAAGGACUGGGAAAGUGCUUUGGUCC